UACAGAGGUCUCAAGCGUUGUUCGGAUUCAUUGGGCGUAAAGGGUGCGUAGGCGGCGCGGUAAGUCGGGUGUGAAAUCUCGGAGCUUAACUCCGAAACUGCAUUCGAUACUGCCGUGCUUGAGGACUGGAGAGGAGACUGGAAUUUACGGUGUAGCGGUGAAAUGCGUAGAUAUCGUAAGGAAGACCAGUGGCGAAGGCGGAUCUCUGGACAGCUCCUGACGCUGGAGGCGCGAAGGCUAGGGGAGCAAACAGG
rnacentral:rRNA from 1 species